rnacentral:rRNA from 2 species
UACGAGUGGUCCAAGCGUUAUCCGGAAUUAUUGGGCGUAAAGCGUGCGUAGGUGGAAUUAUUAGUCGGGUGUUUAACCCACAGGCUCAACCUGUGGAUUGCAUUCGAAACGGUAAUUCUCGAGGAAGUGAGAGGUUUGCGGAACUCAUAGUGUAGGGGUGAAAUCCGUUGAUAUUAUGGGGAACACCAAAAGCGAAGGCAGCAAACUAACACUCUCCUGACACUGAGGCACGAAAGCGUGGGUAGCGAAUGGG